GAUGAACGCUGGCGGCGUGCCUAAUACAUGCAAGUCGAGCGAACAGACGAGGAGCUUGCUCCUCUGACGUUAGCGGCGGACGGGUGAGUAACACGUGGAUAACCUACCUAUAAGACUGGGAUAACUUCGGGAAACCGGAGCUAAUACCGGAGAAUAUAUUGAACCGCAUGGUUCAAUAGUGAAAGACGGUUUUGCUGUCACUUAUAGAUGGAUCCGCGCCGCAUUAGCUAGUUGGGAAGGUAACGGCUUACCAAGGCAACGAUGCGUAGCCGACCUGAGAGGGUGAUAGGCCACACUGGAACUGAGCCGCGGACCAGAGUCCUACGGGAGGCAGCAGAAGGGAAUCUUACGCAAUGGGCGAAAGCCUGACGGAGCAACGCCGCGUGAGUGAUGAAGGUCUUCGGAUCGUAAAACUCUGUUAUUAGGGAAGAACAAAUGUGUAAGUAACUAUGCACGUCUUGACGGUACCUAAUCAGAAAGCCACGGCUAACUACGUG
rnacentral:rRNA from 1 species